CUCUCUCUCUCUCUCUCUCCAUGGCUGAUCUCUGUUCCUUGUGUCUCUUAGGAGUCAUGGACCGUCUUUGGUUUCACCAGAUCAUUCUCUUCUCAGAGUCAGAGUCCUCCACUGUACUAUUCCCUAAAACCCUUAAACAACAAAUCCCACUCAUCACAGAAUCUCUUGUACACUUACCAUCUAGCCUCUCUUUAGCAACUUCUCCUGAUGAAGAAAUAGAGGAACCUUCAAUCACUCUAGAGGUAACGAAAAGCUAUUAGUUAGUACUUCUUUUAACUAUGUAUUUAGGAUUUUUGCGUCUGUUUUAAGUAAUUGCAGGUUUCUUGUUUUUGCCUAGUUAAACAAUCAU
rnacentral:misc_RNA from 1 species